rnacentral:rRNA from 1 species
GACGAACGCUGGCGGCGUGCUUAACACAUGCAAGUCGAACGAGAAUCACUGGAAGGAGUUUUCGGACAACGGAAGGUGAGGACAGUGGCGGACGGGUGAGUAACGCGUGAGGAACCUGACUUUCAGAGGGGGACAACAGUUGGAAACGACUGCUAAUACCGCAUGACACAAAGAGACCGCAUGGUUUUUAUGUCAAAGAUUUAUCGCGGAAAGAUGGCCUCGCGUUUGAUUAGCUAGUGGGUGAGGUAACGGCCCACCAAGGGGACGAUCAGUAGCCGGACUGAGAGGUUGACCGGCCACAUUGGGACUGAGAUACGGCCCAGACUCCUACGGGAGGCAGCAGUGGGGAAUAUUGGGCAAUGGGCGCAAGCCUGACCCAGCAACGCCGCGUGAAGGAAGAAGGCUUUCGGGUUGUAAACUUCUUUUGUCGGGGACGAGUAGAAGACGGUACCUGGCGAAUAAGCCACGGCUAACUACGUGCCAGCAGCCGCCGUAAUAC